rnacentral:rRNA from 1 species
UUCGAGUGGGGGAGUAACGUCCCGAAAGGGACGGCUAAUACCCGCAUGACGUUCUGGGUUUUGAAGACCUGGAAACCCAAAAGGCUGGGGACCGCAAGGCCUGGCGGCUUGGAGAGGAGCCCGCGUCCGAUUAGCUAGUUGGCGGGGUAACGGCCCACCAAGGCGACGAUCGGUAGCCGGCCUGAGAGGGCGGACGGCCACACUGGGACUGAGACACGGCCCAG